UUUUGCAGUUCGUCACGUUGCUGGGAUUUAAGGGUGGAGGUUAGUGGAUUCGAAUUUUAAAGAGGAUUUGGAGAAGAUUUUGAGUGUUGGAAAUCGUAAGUGGAAGUUGGUGGAUCGGCAGCAUAUUGCUCGUAAUUUUGCACGUAUUGAUUCAGAUCCUCGUCUGAAAAGAAUGGGAAAGGUUGAUUUACAGUUUUCGGAUUACUAUGGUUCUCGGUAUGGUGGCGCUUCUGGUGAAAUAAUCAGUCAUGAUAAGGAGGCAGGCCUGGCUUAUGGGGUGUUCCCAAGGUGCAUUUGCACAAGUAAAACCUUGAGUCGGGCCUGUAAGGAGGUAACGCUUCUGUUUGGAUGGUGGCAUUGGUCCGACGAUGUCCAUCGCCCAUCUCAUGAAAGGAUAUGGCAGUGUGGUAGUUGUGAGCAGCUCUGUUGGUAAGUGAAUCAUCGGGGCAUGUCGUUGGCAUUUUUCGCAUCUCGUGACGAAAUUUUCGCAAUCUGCCACCAUUGUCGGCCAAAAAUGCCCAUGUCGCUUGAUUUUUAUGGCUAAGGCUCGUCCUCCUGAAUGAUUGCCGCCUGCUCCUUCGUGUGUUUCUUCUAGGACCAUUUGACUUCUUGGCUGUGUAUGCAUCGCAAGAGUGCUUUAGUCGUGCUCCACCUGAAAAGGUUGUUGUCGUGCAAGACGUAGUGUGCGCAUCGGGCUUUCAGUCAUCGGGCGGCCCAACGGUUGGUUGGCGCUUUUCCUUCGGUGAUGUAGAGUUUAAUUUCGUCACGCCAGUCUACCGGAUCUGCGACCUCUUCUUCAGGUGCUGGUUCGUUGAUGUCUUCCAUGUCCUCACCGAGAUCGUAGAUGAUGUUGACUCCCAUAGCUAGCUUGAUACUUGGUUGGUCGAUGCUUUCUACUGGGAUCAUUCUCUUUAGUGACGGAUCCGAAGUCGAUGCUAGAGUGGCAAGAGCGUCAGCAGUGGAGUUAUCGCUUCGAGGUAUCCCAACGGUGGGCGUCAAUUGUUAUUUCCAUAUCCUGUCAACGAGGUGGUAUAGUAAAAGAAGUAAAGGAGGUGGAGAUUUUCAUAUUAAUAGUCAAGAAUAACAAGCUUGGAAAUUACAAGAACUUAAAGAGAUCGUCUAAAUGAAUUCUCUUUACAAAUGUUUCUAGUCGCCGGAGACGAGCUCGUUCUGGUGAGAAGAGGUCGUCUCGGAAUUUUAGUGGUGGCAUUUUCCGAUGGUCGUCGAAGAUGAGCUCGCUCAGGUGAAGAGAGGUAGCUGUCUCAAACUUCUGGUGGUCUCUGACGUUUUUCAGUCUAUCUUUUUGUGGCUCUGACAUCUCCUUUUAUAGUGAAAGUACAUGUUUGUCUGCUUGUGGAGUCAUCAAUUGGUUAAUGGGGCGGGCCUGAUUUUGGGCCUAGCAUAGUAAUGAGCUUUGUGCUAGGUUCAUAUCCAACAUCGUAUCU